AGAACUGAUAAUUCGAUAGGUGGAAUGAUGGGGCAACGCCUUGAAACGCCUCCUUAAUACUGCGACAGGCAGACAAAGUGCAAUAUUUGUUUGUCUGAAGCUCACAGAAGUCGGCAGAGAGCAGUCCAAACAGGUGAAGCUGUGGAAAUCGGUUCAGAGGUGAACAGUGCUGCCUAUAUGCCGGAGGUCUAUAAA
rnacentral:ncRNA from 1 species